GAUGAACGCUGGCGGCGUGCCUAAUACAUGCAAGUCGAGCGAACAGACGAGGAGCUUGCUCCUCUGACGUUAGCGGCGGACGGGUGAGUAACACGUGGAUAACCUACCUAUAAGACUGGGAUAACUUCGGGAAACCGGAGCUAAUACCGGAUAAUAUAUUGACCCGCAUGGUUCAAUAGUGAAAGACGGUUUUGCUUUCACUUAUAGAUGGAUCCGCGCGGCAUUAGCUAGUUGGUAAGGUAACGGCUUACCAAGGCAACGAUGCGUAGCCGACCUGAGAGGGUGAUCGGCCACACUGGAACUGAGACACGGUCCAGACUCCUACGGGAGGCAGCAGUAGGGAAUCUUCCGCAAUGGGCGAAAGCCUGACGGAGCAACGCCGCGUGAGUGAUGAAGGUCUUCGGAUCGUAAAACUCUGUUAUUAGGGAAGAACAAAUGUGUAAGUAACUAUGCACGUCUUGACGGUACCUAAUCAGAAAGCCACGGCUAACUACGUG
rnacentral:rRNA from 1 species